AUUAUUUGGUCAAUGGUCAUAAACUGAUAUAAACUUUAUUUUGACUGAAGAUCUUUCCUGUAUGAAGUCCAUAUUUUAAUAAGUCUUCACGUGUUAAGUGUUCGGAGCUUUGUUUCGACCGUUUACUGGCUCGAAAUUUUUACAGCGUGAGCGUGAUAGUUUUCGAAGCUUUUUAUCUUAUGGAAAACUAUUUUUCCCAAUAUUUCGACACCGGAAUAUGCUACAUUGUUGUAUAUUUUAACAAACGAAUGCUUACAUAAUGAAAGGAUUAAUAAAGUACUCUACAAUAAACGCUUUAAUCGACAAGUAAAAGGCGGUACAGCUUUUGUGUACCUAACAUACAGUGCUGUACUCUGGCGCGAUAAAUGUGCAGUGAUACUCCUUAUUCUCCUAAUAUCUACUGUUUAUUUUCACUAUGGCACUUUAUAGUCAGUAUUCGAUAUUAACAGAACGAAACAAAACGACUUGCUUAUGUAUGCUUUAUAAUUUUUUCCGUGGAUUUAGUAUUUCUUUUUCAUGUUUAAAAGGAUCAAAUUCUUGGUUACCUACUUUAAACUCGACAGGCGAACGAAAUUUUUAUUUGCUAACUGGGUGACUAAAGGCUUUGAUUGAAAUAGGAAGGAUUUUCAGUUAUCUGAUGGCUUAUGAUGUUAGUAACCAUUUAUAAUAACUUACACUAGUGUUAGUAAAAACAAAUAUUUCUGCCAUAUAUUACGAAUGAAGAGAUAAAUUUCAAUAUCCGGCUAAUAUAAUAUUAUGGACAUUU